GUACGGUUAGUCAGAUUUGAACUGACACAAAUCGAGUGGAAAUCGACAAGUCUACCAUUAACCUAUAACCGC
rnacentral:tRNA from 1 species